AGAGCUGCGCCCGCCUGGGGCAACUCCGAGUCCAGGAGAACCCCAAGAGCGGCGCUUUGGCCCCGGCCCCCGCGCCCUCUCCGAAGAAAGGAGAGUCAGGGACGGAGGGAGGCCGGGAGGCUGAACCCCGGGCCCGCCGUCGAACCGCCGGCCCUCCGACACCAUCUGGACCCCGGCGGGGACAGCCGCCUGGAAGGGGAGGAAGGCCAGGGACGUGGAAGAGAUGGGGCUCUAAAGGCGCCGGGACGGAGCUGGCUCCCCAGAGGCGCCCACCCUGCCAGCGAAGGCCGCCAUCGGAGGCACUCUAGCAAGCGCCACAGAUGCCUUACUGGAUUUAACCUCCCCACAAGGAAAUGAGGGGGUUAUUGUCCUUAUUUUACAGGCUCACGGAUUCUUCUCAUAUCCCAUCUGAUACAAGCAUCCUAGCUGCUCCUUCCACAGAUGAAGACAUGAGGCUCAGAGUGGUUAAGUGUCUGGUUAAGGGCACACAGCUGGCCAGCAUCAGGGUCAGGAUUGAAACCCUAAUCAGCCUUCCUGUGGAAUGGACACAGAUCUGGGAGUCAGAAGACUUUUGUUGGAGGAGCAGUUCUUCACUCACCAGCCAGGUGCCCUAAUCCAGUCCCUCAAUCACAGAGCACUCUGCUUGCCUGUUCUGUACAACAGAGAUUAGUGUCCCCUCUUCCAUCUCACAGGGUUAUUGGAUGAAAUACUCCAUGUGAAUGAGCUGUUUAAAUUGCAAAACACCAUAAAUACUAGCCAUUAUUAUGAGUUCAUACAGCUUUGUAUAUCUUUGCCCAUUUUACGAGAUUUUUUUUUUUUUCUGAGAUGGAGUCUUGCUCUGUUGCCCAGGCUGGAGUGCAGUGGCACAAUCUUGGCUCACUGCAACCUCCACCUCCUGGGUUCAAAUGAUUCUCCUGCCUCAGCCUCCCAAGUAGCUGGGAUUACAGCUGUGCAACACCACACCCAGCUAAUUUUUUUAUAUUUAGUAGAGAUGGGGUUUCACCAUGUGGGUCAGGCUGGUUUCGAACUCCUGACCUCAGGUGAUCCACCCUCCUCAGCCUCCCAAAAUGCUAGGAUUACAGGCGUGAGCCACCACACCCAGCCUCUUAUGAGAUUUUAAAGUUGAAAAUCCCAUAGAUAGGAACCAUGUCUACUUGAAUGCCCCAAAAGCACCUGGACGUCAGCGUUCCUUGGACAAUGUUAAAUAACUCCAAAUUAUUAAAAAAAAAAAAAAAAGCAAGCACAUUUACUUUUCUAAAGCAGAGGACAUAGAUUUCAUAUAGAGAAUAAAUAUGUUGAGAAAUUAGUCAUUUUCUUAACUCACGUUCCAUAUGAUUCUUUGGAAAACUUGGAUGGCAUUUGGGGUGAUUCACGGGGAAGAAUAAUUAAUGUGUCUUGUGUAAUUUCUUCAAGUAGCUAUUAAAAACACAACAGAAUAACACGUGUUUUUCCAUUCUCUGAAAAUGAAGAAAUACAGAGCUGUUUUUACUCCAACUUUUCCAAAACAAAUCACCUUCUGUGAUGAAAAAUGUUGCCUUAAGGAGAGAAAUUUUCAGGAAAAUUAUGAGCAAGUGAAAGAAAACAGAGCACCAAAUAGAAGUCUUAUUUAAUGAGAACAAGAACCUCAACCAGCAAGGCUAAGUCACUUCCAGCCUGUGUCACUCAGCUGUCUCUCCUCUCAUGAGCACUGGAGCCUGACAGACCUCAGUUCAAAUCCAGCCAUGCUUGAUAUUGGCUGAAUAACUGCAGAGGUCACUUCGCCUAAGCCUCAGUUUCCUCAUCUGUAAAAUGGGAGUGAAAUGCCUUCCUCAUGGGCUUCCGGAAAGAUUACAUGAGAUUAUGUACUUAAAGGGGACUAUGUUAUUAUAAACUUUAAAUAAGUUUGUCGUUUCUUUGGUAGUACUCAACAUGGGUAAUCCCAAUUAACAUAUAUAACACUACCCGGCAAGGAAUACUCUCUUGCUAGCGAUGCCUACUGGAAAAUUCUAGUCCCUAAAACUGAGAUUUUAGGCCCCUCAUUCCGGCAUCUAACAGGACAGGAAUUUGGUUUAAGAAGUAAAAUUAUUUUGUUUUCUCACUUUAUCUAUUGUUUGAAAUGACAUUGUCAAGUGUAAAAGAGGGGAAGGAAACCCACAUAUUAUAUGCAUGUCACAGGUGCAUGUGGUGUGUAAGGUAGGUAAGGUAGAGAGAGGAAGGAGAGAGGAGUAGACUGAGAAAGACAGGAAAAGAGGACUUCAACUUUAUCUUCAAAUUUUUAAAUUUCAGGGGUGUAAAAAUAGUUGAAGCAAGUAAAAUAAAAUGUUAACAGCAAUUCAAGGCAGUGAGUACGUGGAUGUUUGUUCUGAUAUUCUCUGUACCUUUUGGCAUUUUUCCAAUAUCAAAAUCAUUUCCAACUAAACAAAUUAUUAAUGGUCAUAACAGUAAUGCAUUUUUUUAUGGAAAGAACUUCAUCAAUAUCCUGACCACCCUAAUAAUUGGUAUAAACUUGUAUCCUGUUUCUUUUUCUUGUCUUUAUACAUGGGUAAAGUCACUACAGAGUAUAAUGUAUAAUCCAUUUCCAUUUAGGAAUAUGCCAGGGUGGCCGGGUACAGUGGCUCACACCCGCAAUCCCAACCCAUUGGGAGGCCAAGGCGGGUGGAUCUCUUGAGGCCAGGAAUUUGAGACCGGCCUGGGCAAUUAUGACAAAACCUCAUCUCUACAAAAAACACAAUAAUUAGCCAGGCAUGGUGAUGUGUGCUGUAGUCCCAGCUAUUCAGGAGGCUGAGGUGGGAGGAUUGCUUGAGCCCAGGAGGUUGACGCUGCAGUGAGACGUGAUUGCUCCUCUG
rnacentral:lncRNA from 1 species